AUAUGUAUACACAUAUACACAUAUAUGUGUAUAUACGUAUAUACACAUAUAUGUGUAUAUGUGUAUACAUACU
rnacentral:pre_miRNA from 1 species